GACGUACGCUGGCGGCGUGCCUAAUACAUGCAAGUCGAACGCAGUGGGGACGGGUGAGUAACACGUGGGUAACCUCCCAUCAGAGGGGAUAACACUUGGAAACAGGUGCUAUACCGAUCUUGAUGGAAGGACCCGCGGUGCAUUAGCUAGUUGGUGAGGUGACGGCUCGCAAAGGCCACGAUGCAUAGUCGGCCUGAGAGGGUGAUCGGCCCAACUGUGAAUGAGACACGGCCAAGCCGCCGACGGGAGGCAGCAGUAGGGGAUCUUCGGCAAUGGACGAAAGUCUGACCGGGAAACGCCGCGUGAGUGAAGAAGGUUUUCGGAUCGUAAAACUCUGUGGUUAAAGAAGCGGUAUCUAACCAGAAAGCCACGGCUAACUACGUGCCAGCAGCCGCGGUAAUAC
rnacentral:rRNA from 1 species